ACAAACCAAACACUGGCACUAAAGUAGAGGGUCAUUCACGUUUUUCACGAGUUUCGCUGCCACUGUAGUUUCUCCUACACGCUUGGAAGGGGAGGGUGAGGCGAGUGGUAUUCAAAUGGUUGCAAUCUGUAAUAUCACUUUUAGAUUCUACUAAAGCCUUCGCUGAACCUUCAAGUGUUGUUCUUUGUAUAUAACAUGCAGAUCGCAUACCUUGGCUUAAGCACCAAUUUUUAAACUUGCUCUUAUUUUCCCACUUGAAAUACUGGUGUUAUGGAUACUGAGGCAAAAUCUCUCUCUCUCUAAAAACUCCCAAAAGUUAACACUUCUUACUGCCUUAAGGCCCAAUGUGAUACUGUCUAGCACAGCUUUGAACAGUCUUACAGUCUCAGGCUUUAGAAUCAAACAAGAUCUGGUACAGUGAUUCUUCAGACCCGAUCAUGAUCUGGUACUGUCAUGGUUUUGGGUCUUGGGUUUUGUUAUUUUCUGUUUUAUUCUGUAGUGCGCUGCCUCAUGUGUCUUGUGUAGUUUUACUUCCCAUCUUUGUUUGCUUUUCCCACCACAUUUGAUUAUCUGCGUCGCCCUGAUUUAGUAUCACCUGUGUCUCGUUUACUCCCCUCACCUGAGUGUAUUUAAGUCUGUGUACUUCCUUUGUUCUGUGUCAGUUCGUCUUGGUUCAUGUGCCUUGCGUUCCAGCCAUCUUUCCUUGUGCUUGCCUGUAUUUGGACAUGGGAUUUUCUGCCUGCUCCUAUUGGAUUUGUUUGCCUGUGUUUGGACUGCCGGUUGGUUUUGAUCCCUGCCUGCCUGACCACCCCUCAGUUCAGUUCAACUUCCACACAACCACGAUAUGCUGUAGACGAUGAGGGAGCGCAUACAGCACAAGAUGAACGUGAUGAGACACCCUGCUGCCUCCCCAUCAUGCCAUUGCGCCUACAAAAGGUUUAGACCUCAAAUACACACACAAACAAAACGGUAUCAUCGUAACUUCUUCCACACACACCCAGAGGCGGAAAAAAAAGCACAAAGCGUAUGCUCACUACAGAGCAAUGAGUGCAGCAGGAGGAACCAAACAUCAGAGGGCCUGUUAACGCGCCGAGGAGCAUUUUGUCUCCUCAAACAACUUGGAGAAUACCAGACAAAAUGACUCAGACUCUACUCCGAAGCAGCUGGAGAAAAGCGACGCUCAGCACAGCCAUCACUUUAGAGGGAAUUUUAUAUCAGACAAACCUAAUCAAAUGCUCUGCCCUUGUUUCAAAAUUUCAAACUAGAUGGCAAAUCAUUCUGAUGAGACUGGAUCUGAGUGAGAGCAAGGGAACGAAAUAGAAAAUAAAGACAAAGAGUA